GCUAAACGCGAAGAACCUUACCUACCCUUGACAUGUCUGGAAGGCUGCUGAAAGGUGGCUGUGCCCGAAAGGGAACCGGAACACAGGUGCUGCAUGGCUGUCGUCAGCUCGUGUCGUGAGAUGUUGGGUUAAGUCCCGCAACGAGCGCAACCCUUGUCCCUAGUUGCUACGCAAGGGCACUCUAGGGAGACUGCCGGUGACAAACCGGAGGAAGGUGGGGAUGACGUCAAGUCCUCAUGGCCCUUAUGGGUAGGGCUUCACACGUCAUACAAUGGACGGUACAGAGGGUUGCCAACCCGCGAGGGGGAGCCAAUCCCAGAAAGCCGUUCGUAGUCCGGAUUGCAGUCUGCAACUCGACUGCAUGAAGUCGGAAUCGCUAGUAAUCGCGGAUCAGCAUGUCGCGGUGAAUACGUU
rnacentral:rRNA from 1 species